GCCCUCUUGGCGUAAUCGGUAGCGCACGCGGUUGAAGCCCGCGGGGUCCCUGUUCGACUCAGGGGGAGGGCGC
rnacentral:tRNA from 1 species